rnacentral:tRNA from 1 species
GCGAUCGUAGCUCAGUUGGUAGAGCACCGGGUUGUGAUCCUGGAUGUCGCGGGUUCAAGUCCCGUCGGUCGCC